GUGAAUCAUCAAAUUUUUGAACGCAAAUUGCGCUUCCUGGCAUCCCGGGAAGUAUGCCUGUUUGAGGGUCAGUAUUAAUAAAAAAUCGGUUUAGUUACAAAUUGUGACGUUUCCGGAGUUUGGGCUAUCUUAACAUUUUUGGUUAAGAGGCUUAAAAUUGACCUUUUUUGCGCUUUUUUAACGUAACUUAAUUUUUUUUUUUUCUUUUUUUCUUACCCCCAAAUUCUUUU
rnacentral:misc_RNA from 1 species